rnacentral:rRNA from 1 species
UCAGGAUGAACGCUAGCGGCAGGCUAACACAUGCAAGUCGAGGGGCAGCGUGGAGUAGCAAUACUCUGACGGCGACCGGCGAAAGGGUGAGUAACGCGUGAGCAACAUGCCCGUAGUUGGGGGAUAGUCGAUGGAAACGUCGCGUAAUACCCCGUAACAACAGAGGCCGCAUGACCUUUGUUUAAGAGAUUUAUUGUCUACGGAUUGGCUCGCGUACCAUUAGCUAGUUGGCGGGGUAACGGCCCACCAAGGCGACGAUGGUUAGGGGUUCUGAGAGGAAGGUCCCCCACAUUGGAACUGAGACACGGUCCAGACUCCUACGGGAGGCAGCAGUGAGGAAUAUUGGUCAAUGGCCGAGAGGCUGAACCAGCCAUGCCGCGUGCGGGAUGACGGCCCUAUGGGUUGUAAACCGCUUUUGUUGGGGAGCAAUAAGGUCCACGUGUGGUCUGAUGAGAGUACCCAGCGAAUAAGCAUCGGCUAACUCCGUGCCAGCAGCAGC